rnacentral:rRNA from 1 species
GAUGAACGCUGGCGGCGUGCCUAAUACAUGCAAGUCGAGCGAACAGAUGAGAAGCUUGCUUCUCUGAUGUUAGCGGCGGACGGGUGAGUAACACGUGGGUAACCUACCUAUAAGACUGGGAUAACUCCGGGAAACCGGGGCUAAUACCGGAUAAUAUUUUGAACCGCAUGGUUCAAUAGUGAAAGACGGUUUCGGCUGUCACUUAUAGAUGGACCCGCGCCGUAUUAGCUAGUUGGUAAGGUAACGGCUUACCAAGGCGACGAUACGUAGCCGACCUGAGAGGGUGAUCGGCCACACUGGAACUGAGACACAGUCCAGACUCCUACGGGAGGCAGCAGUAGAGAAUCUUCCGCAAUGGGCGAAAGCCUGACGGAGCAACGCCGCGUGAGUGAUGAAGGUCUUCGGAUCGUAAAACUCUGUUGUUAGGGAAGAACAAAUUUGUUAGUAACUGAACAAGUCUUGACGGUACCUAACCAGAAAGCCACGGCUAACUACGUGCCAGCCGCCGCGGUAA